GGUGGAUGCCUUGGCAGUCAGAGGCGAUGAAAGACGUGGAAGCCUGCGAUAAGGCUCGGGGAGCUGGCAAACAAGCUGUGAUCCGGGCAUCUCUGAAUGGGGAAACCCACCGGUCUUCGGACCGGUACCGUACGGUGAAUACAUAGCCGUACGGGGCGAACUCGGGGAACUGAAACAUCUAAGUACCCGAAGGAAAAGAAAUCAACCGAGAUUCCGUAAGUAUUGGCGAAAGAAAGCGGAAAAGACAACGCAAAAACUCUAUCAAACAGAACAAGGUGGGAUCCUUGACCAAAGAUGGUGAUAGUCCAGUAUUCUUUGAAAGGUUUUUGGAAUUUGAAGUAAAACAAAUCAAAUUGUUUGAAUAAAAGGAGGCCCACCUUCUUUGUCUAAAUAUAUUGUUAAGACCGAUAGUGAACAAGUACCGUGAGGGAAAAGUGAAAAGAACCCUAGAAAAGGGAGUGAAAAAGAUCCUGAAAUUUAAAACGUACAAGCAGUCAAACAAAUCAUGGAAUUUGUGUGGCGUACCUUUUGCAUAAUGGGUCAGUGAGUAAAUAAAUUCAGCUUGCUUAAUCGGAUACGUGGAGGCGAAGCAAAAGCGAGUAUGCAAAAUGCAUUCUGUUGGAUUUAUUUGACCCGAAACUAAGUGAUCUACCUAUGAACAGGUUGAAGAAAGCGUAAUUUCUUUUGGAGGACCGAACCGACGUCUGUAGCAAUAGGCGCGGAUGAUUUGUGGGUAGGGGUGAAAGGCCAAUCAAACUUAGAGAUAGCUGGUUCUUCGCGAAAUUUAUUGAGGUAAAGCGUUCAAUUUUGGUCAAAAGGGGUAGAGCACUCAUUAAGCUAUGGGGGCCCAAAGCCUUACUGAUCUUUGUGAAACUCCGAAUACUUUGUGACUUGAAGUUGAAUAGACAGACUUAAAGUGCUAAGGUUUUAAGUCAAAAGGGAAACAGCCCAGAAUUUUUGCUAAGGUCCUUAAACAAUAAGUAAGUGGAUAAAGAAGUUUAUUUCCGACAACAACUAGGAAAUUGGCUUGGAAGCAGCCAUUUUAUGAUGAAAGCGUAAUAGCUCACUAGUCGAGUCGGCCUGCGCGGAAGAUGUAACGGGGCUCAAACUGGUCACCGAAGCUGCGGCU
rnacentral:rRNA from 1 species